UACGUAGGGGGCAAGCGUUGUCCGGAAUUAUUGGGCGUAAAGCGCGCGCAGGCGGCGAUUUAAGUCUGACGUUUAAGCCCAGGGCUCAACCCUGGUUCGCGUUGGAAACUGGAUCACUUGAGUGCAGAAGAGGAAAGCGGAAUUCCACGUGUAGCGGUGAAAUGCGUAGAGAUGUGGAGGAACACCAGUGGCGAAGGCGGCUUUCUGGUCUGUAACUGACGCUGAGGCGCAAAAGCGUGGGGAGCAAACAGG
rnacentral:rRNA from 1 species